rnacentral:misc_RNA from 1 species
GAAAUCAAGAACUAUUGGAACACUCACAUCAAGAGAAAACUCAUCACCCGUGGCAUUGAUCCACAAACCCACCGCCCUCUUAACGAAUCCGCCGCCCUCUCCUCCUCCUUGCCUUACCGGAAUCAUCAUCAUCCCACGCCCAACAAUUCCUCUUCUUCUUCCUCCCCUCCUCCCGUAGCAGAGCUUCCGAUUAUGAAGCCCGCAAUCAACGUCCACCCAUCGGAACCCGACGAAGAAGGAAGCGGCACCACCACCGAGAUGGAUCCGCCACUGCCUGCAGCGGAGCCCAUGGUGGCAGUCCAUCUG